AUAGCAACGUUUGACAACUGUGAAAAUAACUCAGGUGCUGCUAUGAAUCCUUGAAUUCUGGAAAACGCAAGAAGAAGUUCGUGUUUUUCUAUUUUAUAAGAAGACAAAAAGAAAAAAAAAAUGGAGGAUCGACCACUGGCCAGAAUUGGCCCCACAGGAGGAGGAGAUGUGAGAGCAGCAUGCAAAAAGUGUGGUUAUCCUGGCCACCUUACCUACCAGUGCAGGAAUUUUGUGAAGGUGGAUCCAAAGAAAGAUGUGGUCCUGGAUGUCUCAUCUACAUCAUCUGAAUUCAGUGAUGAUGAGACACCUCUUACGCAACUUAAUGCACAGGAACUGCUUGCAAAGAUGAAGGAAGAGAAACACCUCAGGAAAGAGAGAAAGAAGCACAAGAAGGAAAAGAAGAAGAAGAAGAAGUUGCGUACAGAUAGCCCCAGCCAAUCAAGGUCAGGGGAAAGGGAUAGGAAGAAAAAAAAGAGGAAGAGCAAGCAUUCCUCGUCAGAAAGUUCCUCUUCAGAGAGUUCCUCGGACAGUGACUCAGAGGAGGAUGAAACACGAAAAGAUAAGAAGAAAAAGAAGAAGGAAAAGAAAAGGAAAAAGGAGAAAAAGAAAAGGGACAAUGAGAGGGACUGAAAAAUUGGAUACAGCUCACUCAUGUGACGUAUGUAUGAGUCCUUCUAUAUAAUGACACAUCUUCAACUUCCCUUAUACGUGCUCAUACUAAUACUAGUAUAAGACCAUGAGGGACUGCUACUCAUCUUGAAGUAGUUUGUGUUGGUAUUACUCAACUUUCUACGCUAUUCUGAGAUCUAAGCUUGUGUGCAGGGGUGUUGAGUCUCCAGAGUUAUGAUGAUAUUGAAACAAAGCUGUACCUGAAUCAAGACCCUUAAAAGAAUGCAGAGAUUAUUUAAGAUUCUUCCCUUCAGCUCAGGAUAGUAUAGAUUUUUUUAAUUCCUCUUUCUUUGCUUAAAUUGUCUCAAUGAUAUUAUCAUUGAUAUUACUAUUGAUAUCAUUGUCAUCAUUAUCACUAUUUAUUUUUUUAUGGACCAGUAAUAUCACCGCAUUCCUUCUUUGUUUAUUAUGUUAAAUACAAGCUACAUAAACAGGAAACAUGAAAGAGAAAAACUUGCCAAGAAUGAUCAAGUGAAGGCAUAUUAAUUAGGGUUCCCUGAGUACCUGCCUGACCAUGUUGUCCUUAUCUUUGUAAUGCUAAGAAUAAAUACAUGAAUAUCA